rnacentral:rRNA from 1 species
GACGAACGCUGGCGGCGUGCUUAACACAUGCAAGUCGAACGGUAAGGCCCUUCGGGGUACACGAGUGGCGAACGGGUGAGUAACACGUGGGUGAUCUGCCCUGCACUUCGGGAUAAGCCUGGGAAACUGGGUCUAAUACCGGAUAGGACUCCUGGCUUCAUGGCUGGGGGGGGAAAGCUUUUGCGGUGUGGGAUGGGCCCGCGGCGGAUCAGCUUGGUGGUUGGGUAAUGGCGGACCAAGGCGGCGACGGGUAGCCGGCCUGAGAGGGUGACCGGUAACAGUGGGACUGAGAUACGGCCCAGACUCCUACGGGAGGCAGCAGUGGGGAAUAUUGCACAAUGGGCGCAAGCCUGAUGCAGCGACGCCGCGUGAGGGAUGACGGACUUCGGGUUGUAAACCUCUUUCAUCUAUGACGAAGCGCAAGUGACGGUAGUAGCAGAAGAAGGACCGGCCAACUACGUGCCAGCAGCCGCAGUAA